AGUAUCUAUACCUUGUGUUAGUAUUAGUUAGUAAAUCGUAAUUGUUGACUUUUGUACAUAGUAAAUUAACAUAAUAGAUUAUUUAAACUUAUAAUAGAUAGACUGCCGUAAAAAUGAAAAGAAUAAGGCUUAGCAAUUAUCAGAAGAAAAAAAUAGACAAAAGUUAAAAUAAGAAGAAAAAAUUAUAGUGCAAACAUUAUAAUUGGUCAUUUUUUAAAAAGGACGUCUGAAAUAAUUAUCAUCCGGACAUUCAAAGAAAUAACUUCAAUCACAAACACUGUCGUUGAUACAUCCACCACCUAACCGUCAAUAGGUGGUGUUUUUUUAUAUUUUAUACACUGGUGCAUGUCGGUUAUUCAAUUUUAAAAUGAACAAAAACAAAUCAAAGGACGUCGAGGAUUCCACUUGCUUUGUUGCUCAAUCACCUGUGCACUUAGACGAUGCUAUCGAAAUGAUUGG